rnacentral:lncRNA from 1 species
AAGGAGAAAAUGAAAGAGAAAGAGGAUGCAGAGGAGGAGGAAGAUGAAGAAAAUCGGAGCAGAAGCACGACCUAGAAAAAUCACUUCCACCUUCUUGCUGCUUCUUCACUUGGUCAUGUGUGUAAAGAAAGGAAAAAGGCAAGGAUCACUCUUGUUGCUUCUUUGAAGAGCUUGACAUCAUUCUUCUCAUGAUCUAUUUCCUUCCAAAAGGCUCCCAUAUAUGAAAUUUAAGAGGACACAAUUCAGCCCAAUGCAGAUUUCUUCCCAUUGAAAGCUACUACAGAUGUCCAGCAGGCAGUUCUGCUACCCUUUGAUGAGAAACUUGAUUUUCUCCAUUACGUUGUCUUUGUCUCAUGUCUAUGUUUCUGCUAGUAACACACAGUCUGGAUUACUGAAGAUUUAUGGAAUUGAAACUCUUUAGACCUCUGCUUCUCCUUUUCAAAGUUGUCUUGGCUUAGAGCAAUGACUUUAAAGACGGAAGAAUGCUGUCCUCUGAGAGGCUCCACCCAGCAGCUGACUCAGACAGAUAACAGAGACCUACAGCCAAACAGUGGAUGGAGCUUGGGGAUUCUUAUGGAAGGAUUGAAGGCCCAGAAAAGGAUAAGAACUCCACAGGAAGACCAAUAUUGCUCCAUGGGCAGGAAAAAUCCAGAAGCAACUCUCCCCCCCCCUCUUCAAACACACAGAUCUUCAAGACAGUUUUGCAGUGAGCUGCAACUGUGCAAGGAUGUUUAUUUCAAUAAUGCCCAAGGGAAGUAAGACAUACCUGGAGUUACAGAGAAGGAACUUGUGAAAAGUCCUAUUGUGCUGCUCACCAGCAUUCCAGGAAGAUUAGAGACGUGGUGGAGAAUAAACCAGACAACUGUGGUCAGCUGGAAAAGACAGUCACUAUUGCCAACUUUUAUCAAAGUGGAGUCUGUUAGGCUCCACUUCCCUGUGCCAUCUAUCUAGUGGAAAUUAAAACACCCAGACCCUCCAUUCAAAGAACGCAGUAUGUAGAAUGGUUGACAGUUUGAAUCGCUAAGGUUGGGAAGCCACAAAUACAGGAAGCACUUUAGAUUUGGCUCACAGAGAAUUCCAGGGUUGCCAGAGAUAACCUAGGAUCCAAGUAUUCUUUUACAGCAACAACCUUGCCUCAUAGCUUUUCUAACUUCAAAUCUCAGAGUAGUUUAUAUUGCUUUGUUCUGUACACAGGUGAGCUGCUUACCUAAAACACUAGGCCUCUGGGGUGCUAUUAUGUUUGCAUAAAGUCUAUUACUUAGAUGAGGUAAAGGUGUCGAGGCAGAAAGGGAAUUGCAUUUCAACUAAAGGAAUUUAAAGUGUAUACAUAAGAAGGGGAAUGUUCAGUUUACUUUGAAAGGGAUCAUUGGAUUGUUGUAAAAUAAGAGCUAGAAGAUACAUUGAGAUGCAUGCAUAUAAAUACAAUGGGCGCAUACUCCUAUGUAGACAUAUAUACUAGUAUAACCUCUGGCAUCUACAUUUCAAGUCCUGUGCUCUGUAAGCAUUUUGUGGGGCUUCAGUAUUGUUAUUUCCAAAUGUUAUUUCCUUUGUAGUGCCCAGUAUGGUGGUAUCAGAUGGGCUUGUUACACACUUCUUUGUGUACCUGUCCAUUCAUACUUGGGUAUCUGGUUCUAUCACUUCCUCUGGUAAUGGAGUCAUUUAGGUAUAAACACCUUCUUAUGUCUUCUCCUAGACUUCAAAGCAUCACUAAACAGCUGAAGCUUAGUCUCAUAAUAUUUUUGAUGAACACACAACCAGUUUUUCUCUGUUUCCAUUCUUUUUUUUUAAACAUUUAGAAAAAGAUGAUUUAUUUUCUUUAUUUGUGCAUGAAUGUUUUGCCUGUAUGUGUGUGAAUAUAUAUAUAUAUAUGUAUAUAUAUGCAUACACACACACACACUUGUAUAGGCAUCACAUACAUGUCAGAAGAGGGUAUUAGAUCCCCUAGAAUUAGAGUUAUAUAUCUCUGUAAGAGACCAUGUGAAAAUGGAGCCUGGUCAUCAAUAAGAACAAGUGCUUUUAAACAUUGAGCCAUCUCUCUGGCUCUGUAUCCAGGCUUCUUUUAUGGGGAUGUAAAGUUGAUCAGCUAAGUAGUGUGCAAUGCAACUUCAAGCUUUACAAUCUUCAUUAAUAUUCAUUUGAAGGUUUUAUCUUAUUACUGCCACCACCAUAAACAACAAUAAAAAGUCUCUCCUUUGACUGAAGAAUUGAAACCUGUCCCAUCUGUAGGCACAAAUGGACACUUAUGUGUGACACUGCAUUU